GAUGAACGCUGGCGGCGUGCCUAAUACAUGCAAGUCGAGCGAACAGACGAGGAGCUUGCUCCUUUGACGUUAGCGGCGGACGGGUGAGUAACACGUGGAUAACCUACCUAUAAGACUGGGAUAACUUCGGGAAACCGGAGCUAAUACCGGAUAACAUGUUGAACCGCAUGGUUCAACAGUGAAAGACGGUCUUGCUGUCACUUAUAGAUGGAUCCGCGCCGCAUUAGCUAGUUGGUAAGGUAACGGCUUACCAAGGCAACGAUGCGUAGCCGACCUGAGAGGGUGAUCGGCCACACUGGAACUGAGACACGGUCCAGACUCCUACGGGAGGCAGCAGUAGGGAAUCUUCCGCAAUGGGCGAGAGCCUGACGGAGCAACGCCGCGUGAGUGAAGAAGGUCUUCGGAUCGUAAAACUCUGUUAUUAGGGAAGAACAAAUGUGUAAGUAACUAUGCACGUCUUGACGGUACCUAAUCAGAAAGCCACGGCUAACUACGUG
rnacentral:rRNA from 1 species